rnacentral:rRNA from 1 species
UACGGAGGGGGCUAGCGUUGUUCGGAAUUACUGGGCGUAAAGCGCACGUAGGCGGUGACGCAUGUCAGAUGUGAAAGCCCUGGGCUUAACCUAGGAAUUGCAUUUGAAACUGCGUCGCUAGAGGCCGGAAGAGGGUAGUGGAAUUCCCAGUGUAGAGGUGAAAUUCGUAGAUAUUGGGAAGAACACCAGUGGCGAAGGCGGCUACCUGGUCCGGUUCUGACGCUGAGGCGCGAAAGCUAGGGGAGCAAACAGG